rnacentral:rRNA from 1 species
AUACUUGGUGUGAAUUGCAGAAUCCCGUGAACCAUCGAGUCUUUGAACGCAAGUUGCGCCUGAAGCCAUUAGGCUGAAGGCACGUCUGCCUGGGCAUCACGC